ACGCUCGACACCUGGGAGGCAGCAGUUGGGAAUAUUGGACAAUGGAGGGAACUCUGAUCCAGUGACGCCGCGUGAAGGAAGAAGGUCUUCGGAUUGUAAACCUAUUUUAUCAGGGAAGAAAGAAAUGACAGUACCUGAAGAAGAAGGACCGGCUAACUACGUGCCAUCAGCCGCGGUAAUCUGAGCGGGCUGGCAAGGC
rnacentral:rRNA from 1 species